AACGAACGCUGGCGGCAGGCUUAACACAUGCAAGUCGAGCGAGACCUUCGGGUCUAGCGGCGGACGGGUGAGUAACGCGUGGGAACGUUCCCUUCUCUACGGAAUAGCCCCGGGAAACUGGGAUUAAUACCGUAUACGCCCUUUUGGGGAAAGAUUUAUCGGGGAAGGAUCGGCCCGCGUUGGAUUAGUUUGUUGGUUGGGUAAUGGCCCACCAAGCCGACUAUCCAUAGAUGGUUUGAGAGGAUGAUAAGCCACACUGGGACUGAGAAACGGCCCAGACUACUACGGGAGGAAGCAGUGGGGAAUAUUAGAAAAUGGGGGAAAACAUGAAAAAGCCAUGACGGGUGAGUGAUGAAGGACUUAGGGAAGUAAAGCUAUAUAAGCUGGGAAGAGAAUGACGGUAACAGAAGAAGAAGCCCCGGCUAACUACGUG
rnacentral:rRNA from 1 species